AGAGGUUUUUUUUAGGGGGAUAAAGGAUUGACGGCUGAAAACUGGGCAGAGGGCUACGAAGAGAGAGUGAGGGAUCAACGGGGAGGUUUAGAAGGCAACAAAAGAAAGAAAAAGGAGAGAGCUUUGACGGUUGAAGGCUGGGAAGAAAGAAACCAAAGGAAAGGUGACGGUUGAACAAAUCAGAGAAGAGGACGGUCGGACAAAGGAAGCAGAGCAUCCCAGUGACGACGGAAAACCAAAAAACCAGCAAAGGAAACCACCAGAGCAAGAGGAAAGACCGAAGCUUUCACUUUCUCUCCAUCAAUCAAAAAAGAAAGAAUUUCAGAUAAAUAAGUGAUUUUACUUCAUUGGGGCCCAAUUUCAAGGGAGGUGCAGCCCUCCACAUGCAAGCCAUAAAAAAGCAAAUUUGAUCAUGCAUUGUCAGGAAAGAAUGAAGCAAAGAGGAAGAAAUGAGCCAUGAAAUGGGGCUAUGUAUGUAAUGAGUAAAUUUAAGAUCUUGGCCUUAGCAAUAUAUUAACGUUGCAAAUUUACCGUUGCAAAAAAUAAACCUGAUCGAAGUUGCUGACCAAAAUUAGAGUCAAGCUCUUAAAUUUUGUAAUGGAGGCCCUGAUGAUGCGUGUAAUGGGUAUUACACGGUCACAAUGUCACAAUGGAUGGCCCCGAUGAUGCGUGUAAUGGGUAUUACAUGGUCACAAUGGAUGGCCGUGUAAUACCCCCAUUACAAUGUCAGACAUUACACCACCGUUGGAGAUGCUCUUACCAUGCUACCAGUCAAAAAGUAUCUUUUUUAUGACAAAAAAAUACUGUUUAUUAUUGUAAUGGCAACUGGAAUUGAUAACAUUUAGUAAUUAA